GGUGACAUACAGUAUGGAAGGUGAUUCGCUGGUGAACACCUAUCCCAGCGUGGAUGGGAAAGGACUGCACUUCCGCAGCUGUCGCCGUUUUCUGGACGACAACACCAUACAUACGGACCUGAAAGUUGGUGACCUUGAAGGCUGGUCGGAGGCAAAGCGAGUGUAGCCAAGUGUCUACAAGCCCUGUUCGCAACAUAACAUGUCAACUUUUCCACACGAUGUCUGUGUUAUAAGUGAACAUCGAGUGUGUAUUGGCAGCUGUCAUUAAGAAAUAAAUAAAAGUUGUGGAGCAAAG